UACGUAGGGCGCGAGCGUUGUCCGGAAUUAUUGGGCGUAAAGAGCUCGUAGGCGGUUUGUCGCGUCGGUUGUGAAAACCCAAGGCUCAACCUUGGGCCUGCAAUCGAUACGGGCAGACUAGAGUACUGCAGGGGAGACUGGAAUUCCUGGUGUAGCGGUGGAAUGCGCAGAUAUCAGGAGGAACACCGGUGGCGAAGGCGGGUCUCUGGGCCGUUACUGACGCUGAGGAGCGAAAGCGUGGGGAGCGAACAGG
rnacentral:rRNA from 1 species